rnacentral:rRNA from 1 species
GACGAACGCUGGCGGCGUGCUUAACACAUGCAAGUCGAACGGAAAGGCCCUGCUUUUGUGGGGUGCUCGAGUGGCGAACGGGUGAGUAACACGUGAGUAACCUGCCCUUGACUUUGGGAUAACUUCAGGAAACUGGGGCUAAUACCGGAUAGGAGCUCCUGCUGCAUGGUGGGGGUUGGAAAGUUUCGGCGGUUGGGGAUGGACUCGCGGCUUAUCAGCUUGUUGGUGGGGUAGUGGCUUACCAAGGCUUUGACGGGUAGCCGGCCUGGGAGGGUGACCGGGCACAUGGGGACUGAGAUACGGCCCAGACUCCUACGGGAGGCAGCAGUGGGGAAUAUUGCACAAUGGGCGGAAGCCUGAUGCAGCAACGCCGCGUGCGGGAUGACGGCCUUCGGGUGGUAAACCGCUUUCGCCUGUGACGAAGCGUGAGUGACGGUAAUGGGUAAAGAAGCACCGGCUAACUACGUG